rnacentral:rRNA from 1 species
UGAACGCUGGCGGCGUGCUUAACACAUGCAAGUCGAACGAGAAAGCUUUAGCUUGCUAGAGCGAGUAAAGUGGCGCACGGGUGAGUAACGCGUGGGUAAUCUGCCCUUGAAUUUGGGAUAACACUUCGAAAGGGGUGCUAAUACCGGAUAAUAUCUUUUGUAUUGCGGUACGAAAGAUCAAAGAUAGCCUCUUCUUGAAAGCUAUUGUUUGAGGAUGAGCCCGCGUACCAUUAGCUUGUUGGUGGGGUAAAGGCCUACCAAGGCGACGAUGGUUAGCUGGUCUGAGAGGAUGAUCAGCCACACUGGAACUGGAACACGGUCCAGACUCCUACGGGAGGCAGCAGUGAGGAAUUUUGCGCAAUGGGGGAAACCCUGACGCAGCAACGCCGCGUGAGUGAUGAAGGAUUUCGGUUCGUAAAGCUCUGUCAAGUGGGAAGAACCUAUAUAAUGUUAAUAGCGUUAUAUACUGACGGUACCACUGAAGGAAGCACCGGCUAACUCC